CAGGGGCUAUACAGAGAAACCCUGUCUCAAAAAAAAAAAAAAAAAAAAAAAAAAAAAAAAAAAAACCAAAAAGAAAAAAAAAAAAGAAAGAAAGAAAGGUCCCCACGAAGGACUGGUCCAGGAGAAGAAAAGACAAAAGCCAGAACAGAACCCCCGAUUCAUCUCCAUCUGCCCAUCAGCCUCCUUAAGCCAGAGAGAGGCAUGGGGACAGGACUGAGAGCUGACCAUAAUAUGCACCAUGCUGUUGCCAAAUGCCUGCUGCUUACUCCAUGUUGGGUAUGGUGUCUCCUUCCCAAGCUUUUUGAGGAAGCUCCCCUAGGCUUGGUGGAUAGGAAUACCAACAGCCCAUAGAACUUCUGUCUGGCUAGAUAAAUUUUCUCCAUCCCCCCACCCCCAAUACUUCAUACUUCAGAUCCUGUGAGGCUACCUGAACCCCUCCCACCCCCUCAUGACCUCCUGGCUGCCAUGCCACAUGCUGGUACUCUUUCUGACCCUCCAUCACUGUGCAUAAGUUAGUUCUCUCUCCCGGUCCUGGAUCUUGCAUGCCUACCCAUAUUGCCACCACAUCCUCCAGCUCCCAGAGCUUGUACUUUGAAAGUCAUUAUCACUUAGUUGUGACAUGUGUGUAUUGUUUGGGUAAUUGUCAGCCCUUGGGGACAAGGACCUCAUUUGUCUUUCUCAGUGCUGUGUCCCUAGUGUCUGACCCAGUGCAGGCAGGUGGUAGGAGCCCUGGUGAUAUUUGUUGAGUAAAAGAAUCAUUCGUGGGGCUUCCAGGUCCUCUAGGCAGAAAACUCUGCUGUCUCUGAAGAUUACUUUCUCCAGUCAAAGCUGGGUGUGGUGGUUGCACACCUUUAAUCCUAGCGCUCAUGCAGAGGCAGGUAGAUUUCUGAGAGCCCAGACAGCCAGGGUUUUUGGAACCUGGUAUCCUAAGUGGCAUACUUCCUUGGCCUCAUCAUCAAAGACUACUUCAUAAAAACGGGAUAUGUGAAGACUGGCUCCUGGAGCGGACUCCCCUGGGUCUGAGUUUGCAGUCUGCUGGCUGAUCACUUAUUGCUGACUGUGUCAGCCAGCAUGCCUGACUUGGCCUCAGCAAGCCACUGCCUCUUGCUGAUUGUUAGUCCCCUUCCUGUGUGCAGUGGACAGGGGUAUGGUAAAAGUAUCUUCACUGUUGUGCUGAGCCUGGGAGACCCUUGUGCCAAUCCCAUAGCAGGAAGCCUGAGGGUCUGCUCUCAGAGCAGCGGGGAAUUCUGAGCCAGGGCAGGAACCUCAUUCUGCUUCUACCUUCCACACUGCGCCAGCUCUUCGUGCGUGUGGUGCGAGGAGGCCUGACUAGGUCAGCCCCUUUGGUUCCUUCCAGAUCAGUGGGAAGUGUGUUGUUGCCAGACCUGGCCCCCUACUCUUCCUCGUUCGUACCCUCUGUCAUUCCAGAAAAUGGGACUUGCAUCCUCCUUGGGGCCCAGGUGAGUGCCCUAGAGGAACGUACCUCCCCAUGGAUUGUCAUAAGGACCUAUUCUGGGGACUCCUUGGUGACGCACAUGCAAACUGAUGGUGUUGCCAUGGCAGCCCCUCCUACUCAGGAUUGAAUGUGCUGGGUCAGAGAGUGGGGGUGGAGAAAGCAGGCGCUGGGGUCUCAUGUCACUUGUAUUGCAGUCCUGGUUGGCUGUUGAGAACCUACCAUCCUAAAAGACUUACUUUUUUGCCUUUACCUCCCAGGACUCUAUCUUAUUUAAUGAAAAGUAAAUAUGUUAAACCCUAACUCUCUAGAAUAACUCUUGUAGGAGCCAAUGUUCUUAUUAGCAAGGUCAUUUGUAGAUUAAAAAGCCAUUAGGAAUUCUAGUAGAGUGAAGAAGGUCCAAGUUGGCAAGACCUCAGGCCUCCUCUGCUCUGUUCUUAUGCCUUAUGUAGUGCUCGAGGGAAACUAGAGGGAAGGGAGGGUCCCAGAAAAUCUAAGGAGACUGGGAUGCUGGGCUCCCUGUAGCAGGCUCUUGAUAGCCUGGCCAGGUACUUCCCCUAGCAUAGCAUGGAUCUGUGGUGGUUUGGCCUUCCCUUUGGCCCAAAUGUCACUAUGGGCACUAUUUUGGGACGCCUAAUUUCCAUAAUAGCUCUCAAAGGAGAUUGUUCAUCUUUCUGGGAAAGGUCUCACCAGUGCGUUAGCAGCUGAAUGGCUAGGUUGCUGCCCUGUCCAAAGUUGUUGGAUGGAGUGGAAACUGAUAGGCUUUUCCUGGUGUUCAAGGUAGAGGCCAGCACUCCAUGGCCUUCUCGUCCUUCCUGCCUGCCUCUCUGUUACUCAGAUUCAGUCUCUGCUGUAGCUGGACUGGACUUGUAUACUUAAGUCCUCAAAUUUGUGCUCUCUCUUUGUAGAUGCCAUUCGCAGGGCCCAUGACUUCCUUAUGUUAGGCUGAUACCUCAUCUGAGCUGUUGUAUCCCCUCCCCAGGACAGUCCGGGGACAUCCCUCUGAGCUUGGUCCUUUUAAGCCCCCUGUAUAUAAUUCAUAACCUUGUCUCCCCAGCUAUGUCUAGGGUGGGUAGUACAAGAAUUAACACCUCUGGCAGGUGCCUCGGAAGCAGGAGGAGGUGCGGACCGGAGCUUCUCUUCUGUUUCGGGAUCCUUAGGAAGUACGUUUCUCUCUGGAGCCUUCCUGUUAUCCCUGACAUUAGCCUACCCUUCCACUU
rnacentral:lncRNA from 1 species